rnacentral:rRNA from 1 species
UACGUAGGGUGCGAGCGUUGUCCGGAAUUAUUGGGCGUAAAGAGCUCGUAGGCGGUUUGUCGCGUCGACUGUGAAAACUGGGGGCUUAACUCUCAGCUUGCAGUUGAUACGGGCAGACUUGAGUUCGGUAGGGGAGACUGGAAUUCCUGGUGUAGCGGUGAAAUGCGCAGAUAUCAGGAGGAACACCGGUGGCGAAGGCGGCUUGCUGGGCCAGUUCUGACGCUGAGGAGCGAAAGCGUGGGGAGCGAACAGG